rnacentral:lncRNA from 1 species
CAUCUGCAGAGCCGCAUGUGCCCAUGUGGGCAGUGGACCCAAUGCUGCAGAGGAAAGGCCGGGAGUUUGCAGGACCCCAUUCUCUGGGAGGGCUCUGAGCCCUGACCGCCAAGACCACGCCAACCAGGGACCUGAAGGCAGGUGUGAAGGCCAGGGCCUGGCCCUGGCCUGUGUUCCGGACCCCAGCAAGCAGCGGAGCGAGGCCAGAAGGAG